GAUGAACGCUAGCUACAGGCUUAACACAUGCAAGUCGAGGGGCAGCAUGCAGGUAGCUUGCUAUCUGUGAUGGCGACCGGCGCACGGGUGAGUAACAUUUGGGAAACUACCUGAUAGAGGGGGACAACAGUUGGAAACGACUGCUAAUACCGCAUAAAGCCUGAGGGUGAAAGCAGCAAUGCGCUAUCAGAUGUGCCCAAACGGGAUUAGCUAGUAGGUGAGGUAAAGGCUCACCUAGGCGACGAUCUCUAGCUGGUCUGAGAGGAUGAUCAGCCACAUUGGGACUGAGACACGGCCCAGACUCC
rnacentral:rRNA from 1 species